rnacentral:rRNA from 1 species
CCUACGGGUGACAGCAGUGGGGAAUAUUGCGCAAUGGGCGAAAGCCUGACGCAGCGACGCCGCGUGAGGGAUGAAGGUCUUCGGAUCGUAAACCUCUGUUAGCAGGGAAGAACGGUCACUGUGCUAACUAGCAGUGAAUUGACGGUACCUGCAAAGGAAGCACCGGCUAACUCCGUGCCAGCAGCCGCGGUAAUCCGGAGGGUGCGAGCGUUAAUCGGAAUUACUGGGCGUAAAGCGCUCGUAGGCGGUAUGGCAAGUCAAGGGUGAAAUCCCCGCGCUCAACGUGGGAACUGCCUUUGAAACUGGCAAACUGGAGUGUGUGAGAGGAAAGUGGAAUUCCAGGUGGAGGGGUGAAAUGCGUAGAUAUCAGGAGGAACAUCAGUGGCGAAGGCGACUUUCUGGCCCGUAACUGACGCUGAGGAGCGAAAGCGUGGGUAGCAAACAGGAUUAGAUACCCCAGUAGUC